UACGUAUUAGAGACUUAUCUCUUUAGCCUCUUUUUAUCUUUUCUCCUUCUCUCCUUCUCCCUCAGCCCUAAGAGCAAAGUAGUGAAGAAGCAAGUUGGAAACCGGCAGUUUGGUGCUUGCGGGUUGUAGGAGAAUUGCCGAGCUGAAAUUCGAGUCCCUAAAGCUAAGAGGAAUUUGGAAGAGCACUUAAUUAAGCCCUGAAAUUUCAGCUUGUGGAGUCGAAAAUUCUCACUAUUGGAGCUGCUGAAUAGAAAUUUCAGCUAGGGGAAGUUUAGAAAUUAAUGAAAUUCAAGUUGAUGGUGAAGGAAGUUAGCAAGUUGAUACUUCGGUUUUAGUGGACCUUCUUGGUGUUCCGAGCUGAGAAGAAGCCUGGAGGAGAGCUUCAAAUUAAUGUAAAUAUUUAGAAUUUGGUUGUAACUAAAUUGGUUACCUUAGAAUUGUUCAAGUUAAGGGUUUCCUGCUGCUAGAAUUGGCAAGCUCGAGAGUAUUGGGCCAAGUGAAGUCGAUGCAUUAGUGCUGUCCGGACUGAGAAGUUGCUGCCCAGAUUUAGAGCGGAUUUGAGGAAGCCUUUGGAUGCUUUGAAUUUCAGCAAGCCUGAUGCUGAAAUUGCAAUUUUGGUGGAGCCUUUUUUGAUGUUUUAAGUUGAAGGAAGACCUUAGAAAGCUGAGAGCAGGGUGGUGAAGGCAUUGGAUGGAGGUCGGCGACGCACGAAUUACGGUAGAAGCCAAUUUGGCUUUAGGUGCAUUGGGUCAGUGAGAUCAUCGUUGACAUAGUUCGAGACGCUGAUUCUCGUUGUUGGCAUCCCUACAGGUUCCAGUGCGAGCAGUGUGGCCGAGGAUCGUGGCAAGAGCCCUGCAGCCUAGCUAGCUGACACCAGAGUAUAGUAGUUUACCAUUUUGGAUUUCAUGUGAUACAUUCUGAUGUACAGAAACUUGUAAAUGGGUGUAUACAGAGCAUGUAAAUAACUAAAUAUUUCAGUUAUGCAGUUCAGUUUGAAAGUUUUAAAUUACA